GCUGGUGUGGUUCAGUGAAUAGAGCAUCAGCCUGCUGACUGAAGGGUCCCAGGUUCGAUUCCUGUUAACGGCA
rnacentral:tRNA from 1 species